rnacentral:rRNA from 1 species
UACGUAGGGGGCAAGCGUUGUCCGGAAUCAUUGGGCGUAAAGGGCGCGUAGGCGGUCUUUUAAGUCUGGUGUGAAAACCUAGGGCUCAACCCUGGGAGUGCAUCGGAAACUGGGUAUCUUGAGGACAGGAGAGGAAAGUGGAAUUCCACGUGUAGCGGUGAAAUGCGUAGAUAUGUGGAGGAACACCAGUGGCGAAGGCGACUUUCUGGACUGUAACUGACGCUGAGGCGCGAAAGCGUGGGGAGCAAACAGG